rnacentral:rRNA from 1 species
AUUGAACGCUGGCGGCAGGCCUAACACAUGCAAGUCGAGCGGAUGAAGGGAGCUUGCUCCUGGAUGCAGCGGCGGACGGGUGAGUAAUGCCUAGGAAUCUGACUGGUAGUGGGGGAUAACGUACGGAAACGGGAGCGAAUACCGCAUACGACAAGAGGGAGAAAGGGGGGGAUCUACGGACAUCACGCGAUCAGAUGAGCCUACGACGGAUUAGCUAGUUGGUGGGGUAAAGGCCUACCAAGGCGACGAUCCGUAACUGCUCUGAAAGGAUGAUCAGUCACACUGGAACUGAGACACGGUCCAGACUCCUACGGGAGGCAGCAGUAGGGAAUCUUCCGCAAUGGGCGAAAGCCUGACGCAGCCAUGCCGCGUGUGUGAUGAAGGUCUUCGGAUUGUAAAGCACUUUAAGUUGGGAGGAACGUCUGUAUGUUUAUCCCUUGCUGUUUUGACGUUACCAACAGAGUAAGCACCGGCUAACUUCGUG